GGUAAAGUAAGGCAGUCUAAGUUCGCGACGUCGUGUCGCAAUGCCUGCAUCCU
rnacentral:sRNA from 1 species